GAUGAACGCUGGCGGCGUGCCUAACACGUGCAAGUCGAGCGAUUCUCUUCGGAGAAGAGCGGCGGACGGGUGAGUAACGCGUGGGUAACCUGCCCUGUACACACGGAUAACAUACCGAAAGGUAUGCUAAUACGGGAUAACAUAAGAAAUUCGCAUGUUUUUCUUAUCAAAGCUCCGGCGGUACAGGAUGGACCCGCGUCUGAUUAGCUAGUUGGUGAGGUGACGGCUCACCAAGGCGACGAUCAGUAGCCGACCUGAGAGGGUGAUCGGCCACAUUGGAACUGAGACACGGUCCAAACUCCUACGGGAGGCAGCAGUGGGGAAUAUUGCACAAUGGGCGAAAGCCUGAUGCAGCAACGCCGCGUGAGCGAUGAAGGCCUUCGGGUCGUAAAGCUCUGUCCUCAAGGAAGAUAAUGACGGUACUUGAGGAGGAAGCCCCGGCUAACUACGUGCCAGCCGCCGCGGUAAUAC
rnacentral:rRNA from 1 species